CACCGCGGUUAUACGAAAGGCUCAAGUUGACAAAGAUCGGCGUAAAGAGUGGUUAAUAGAAUAUUAAACUAAAGCCGAACGCCAUCAAGACCGUUAUACGUCCCCGAUAGGUGGGAAGCCCCACAACGAAAGUGGCUUUAAACACUAUUGAACCCACGAAAGCUAGGAAA
rnacentral:rRNA from 1 species